GCAGCCAUUUUCUCAGAGGGCCGUUAUGCUAAGGGAUCAGGGUACCGAAAGAAAUUUGAAGUGUUUCCGGGUCUGGUUAGCAACUCCGAGAAGAAAAUGCAUCACCGUUUAGACUUAACAGGUGCCUAGCUCAAGGUGCCUUUUAACUUAUUCCCUUAGUUUUCAGAAAGAACUAGUAGUGAUAAGUGCAGAUAACAGGGCACAUAUUACCACUUGUAUUUAAAACAUGCUAUGGAAGAGGCAGGACCUAGGCUGGAAGUAGCCAGCGAUAAUAUCCUUCCGAGAGUGGAGUCCUGGUCGUUUUAGACCGUCCUCCAGGGGGUGGGGUGUAGGGCGGAAGUUAUGGCGCAGGGCCGAAGUCUAGCCGCCGAAGGGCGGAAGUAGAGUCCCGAAAUCUGCAAUCAUGGCUCAAGAAGAGGAAGAUGUUAGAGAUUACAAUUUGACAGAGGAACAGAAGGCGAUCAAGGACAAGUAUCCUCCAGUCAAUCGAAAGUAUGAAUAUUUGGAUCAUACGGCUGAUGUUCAGUUACAUGCAUGGGGGGAUACUCUUGAGGAAGCAUUUGAACAGUGUGCCAUGGCCAUGUUUGGUUACAUGACAGAUACUGGAACUGUGGAACCCCUCCAAACAGUAGAAGUAGAAACUCAGGGAGAUGACUUGCAGUCUCUACUGUUUCACUUUUUGGAUGAGUGGCUUUACAAGUUCAGUGCUGAUGAAUAUUUCAUACCCCGGGAAGUGAAAGUGCUUAAUAUUGAUCAAAAAAAUUUCAAGUUACGGUCAAUUGGGUGGGGAGAAGAAUUUUCAUUGUCCAAGCAUCCUCAGAAGCAUUGUUGACUGAGAGUAACAGUGAAGGGAAGAUGCCUGAGGAAAAAAUGGGAUUCGUACUUGAGGGGAGAAAAGCUGUCCAUUAGAUUGCUGGGAACAGAAGUCAAAGCAAUAACAUAUUCGGCAAUGCAAGUCUACAAUGAAGAGAAGCCAGAAGUGUUUGUGAUCAUCGACAUUUAAGGAAGGGAGGAAGGAAGGAAGGAAGGAAGGAAGGAAGGAAGGAAGGAAGGAAGGAAGGAAGGAAGGAAGGGACACUUGGGGGCUGGGGGGAACUUGGGUCAAUUCCCAGCAACUACUUGACAGCCCACAACCGUCUAACUCCUGUUCCAAGGGAUCCAACGCCCUCAUACAGACAUUGAUGUAAGCAAAGCACCAGUGUACAUAAAAAUAAAUUAUUUUUAAAAAAGA